AGGUGCGCCUGCGCUUUGCGAGGUUCCUGGCUAGGGAGGCGGCCUUGGCUGGCUUGACCGUCAUCCUUGAGGCCUGCGGGGCAACGGUGGCUGUCCUUGGCCCGGCUUUGGAAUGUGGCUUUGCAGGGCUGGUGUUGGCGCCAUUCUCGCAGGCCCACGUGCUCCUGCUCUUCCAGGGUGUCCUCGGCUGUUUCUCCUGCCGCGGCGCAGCAGCGCUCCCAGGCUGCCCCCGCGAUAACACGCCCCUGGCAGCCAGGCUCCCAGCUCUGUUACGUGCCCGGGCGGGGAAGAGCUUCCUGGUGUCUCCCGGCUCCUGCCCUUCUCCCGCCCCAGGGGCGGGCUGCCGCCGCCCUCUGCAGCUGAGUCAGUGCAGUUCCUCACCUACCUUCUCUGCUCACCGCUGUGUGCUAGCAAUCGGAGGACCCUUGGCACACGGAGCGACAGGGGCCUCCCCCACAGACACCUCAUUUUGGGAAAGAAGAGAUAGGAUGGAGUGUCACCAAGAUAGAAGACAAAAACAUAAGCUGUGAAAUGUGAUUAUAAAGUAGUGACAUGAGUGCCAGAAACCACGGAGGAAACGUCUCCUUGUUCUGGAUCCACACUUCAUACGUGGUCAUUGAAACGUGGCAUCAAACGGGAGGAAUGUGAUGGGCCAGGUUAGGGGAAGAGCACCAAGCAGGGCCUUUCCCUGGGAGAUGGCACCACGUGACAUGCUUCAUACGGAAGCACAUGGGCCCUCAGCGCUGGUAUCUUGCUUCACCUGGGGAUGGUGAUGAAAUGAUGCAGAGCUGACUCAAUACGAUACAGAGCUGACUCAAUACGAUGUGUGGGAUCUUCCAUCGUGAAGCAGCUGGGAGCACCAGGAGGCAGGUUUUCCCGUGCUUAUGGAAAGCACCACAUUGUUCUGCUGGGGACAUGUUCUUUUACUCCAAGGAGUAGUGGAUGUGCAAUGGGCUGUCCUGCCCGUAGAGAUGUGUGGGGCUGGCUGCUGAGAACAGAUGGCAACUGGCUGGCUCUGAUGCCUCAGAAGAGGUGAAUGCAUUCGGAGAGGCCACAGCUGAGAGUCCCUCAAACUGGGGAGUUAUUAUUCUAAAAGUUGGAUUUUUAGCAAGAUUUUACCAGGUGAGGCUGAUUAAAUGAUGGUGGCAGGGGCGGGGAGAAAAACAAAUAAAAGUGAGUUGAAGUCAACCUC
rnacentral:lncRNA from 1 species